rnacentral:rRNA from 1 species
UAAAUCAUUCAAGUUUCUGCCCUAUCAGCUUUGGAUGGUAGUGUAUUGGACUACCAUGGCAAUCACGGGUAACGGAGAAUUAGGGUUCGAUUCCGGAGAGGGAGCCUGAGAAACGGCUACCACACCUACGGGAGGCAGCAGGGACGAAAAUUGCCCCAAUCCUGAUUCAGGGAGGCAGUGACAAGAAAUAACAACUCCCAACUUUUGUUGGGAAGUGUAAUGAGGAUAAUUUUACAAACCUUACCGAAAGCAAUUGGAGGACAAGUCUGGUGCCAGCACCCGCGGUAAUUCCAGCUCCAAAAGCGUAUAUUAAAGUUGUUGCAGUUAAAAAGCUCGUAGUUGAAAUUCUGGCUGUAUUGGGCCUUUGCUUUCAUGCGAAGGAACCAGCAGUCAUCCGCUUGCAAGUACAUGCUCUUCCUUAACCGGUAGACUGUAUAAGUAAGCAUUUUACCUUGAGAAAAACAGAGUGUUCCAGGCAGGUUUGUCCGGAAUGCAUUAGCAUGGAAUAAUAGAAUAUGACUGAGGUCGAUUUAUUGG